rnacentral:lncRNA from 1 species
AGGCAGAGGAGCUAGGAAAGUGUCUUAGAAGUCAGGGGAUGGCCAUAUUGCAAGAAAUGCAAAACUGCAGCAGUUUGCUCACAGGCUGAUGGGAAGCAGCGCCCUGCCUCCAGUUCUGUCACUCAGGAGAUGUGUGACCCCGGCACCAGGAAAUUCCAUACAACCAGGUCACCUGUAAAAGGCCAGGUACCCUGUUUAGGAAACACCACUCGUGAGCUGUUUGAACCAUGCUGUGGGUCCAGCCUCCCCAUGACAUGACUGUUGUCACAAGCUCAAGGGUGCAGCCCAGAGGAUCCAACCUGUAGUGAUCUGAAGAUGGCUGAGACUAUGAUGUCUCCAAGCAAGCAGAUGAGCAGCAGAUCUGAACUGGCCAGAAGAAGUGUCGUGAGAGGAGGCUGGCUGUCCCACAGGACUUGCCUGGGCUCUGGAUGAGGUCUCAUUGGCAGAACUGUGAGGGGCACUGAUUCCCAGGUACUCUAAUCUUUCAGACUACCAGCCAGAGGACUCGGCUUAUGGGAACCUAUUCAACUCU